rnacentral:rRNA from 1 species
UACGGAGGGUGCGAGCGUUGUCCGGAAUCAUUGGGCGUAAAGGGCGCGUAGGCGGCGGGACAAGCGUGCGGUGAAAGCCUGGGGCUCAACCCCGGGUCGGCCGUGCGAACUGUUUUGCUUGAGCACUGUAGAGGCAGGCGGAAUUCCGGGUGUAGCGGUGGAAUGCGUAGAGAUCCGGAGGAACACCGGUGGCGAAGGCGGCAUCCUGGACCGGCAUUGACGCUGAGGAGCGAAAGCCAGGGGAGCAAACGGG